UACGGGGGGGGGCAAGCGUUGUUCGGAAUUACUGGGCGUAAAGGGCGCGUAGGCGGCUCGCUAAGUCGGGUGUGAAAACUCUGGGCUCAACCCCAGAGCCUGCAUUCGAAACUGACGAGCUAGAGUUCUGGAGGGGAAAGCGGAAUUCCUGGUGUAGCGGUGAAAUGCGUAGAUAUCAGGAGGAACACCGGUGGCGAAGGCGGUUUUCUGGACAGAAACUGACGCUGAUGCGCGAAAGCUAGGGGAGCAAACAGG
rnacentral:rRNA from 1 species